rnacentral:misc_RNA from 1 species
GAUGAAGAACGUAGUGAAAUGCGAUAAGUAAUGUGAAUUGCAGAAUUCAGUGAAUCAUCGAAUCUUUGAACGCACAUUGCGCCCCCUGGUAUUCCGGGGGGCAUGCCUGUUCGAGCGUCAUUACAACCCUCAAGCUCUGCUUGGUAUUGGGCCCCGCCAGUUCUGGCGGGCCCUAAAGUCAGUGGCGGUGCCUUCCGGCUCCGAGCGUAGUAAUUCUUCUCGCUCUGGAGACCCGGUUGUGUGCUUGCCAACAACCCCCAAUUUUUUAAGGUUGACCUCGGAUCAGGUAGGGAUACCCGCUGAACUUAAGCAUAUCAUAAGCGGAGGA